UUCUCUUCGUAUCUGAGUAGUGCUCAUUUUCCCGUCCUUUCAAUUCUUUACAUGAUAAUGUAUUUCUCCCCCCCACCAACCCUUCCCGACAAAAAGGAAUGUAUAGAGGAUUUCAGUGACUUUGAGAUAACAAAGGCGCCACCAUUGCAGAGACUUGCCCCGCCUCUGUGUGAUGGCAAACAAAUUCUUGCACUUGUAUUAGGGCUUUUAAAGGCCAUAAUUGAACGCGGCGCGUCUAGGGGAACCGAAAACAGUUCUAGACUGACCUGCGGUUUUAUUGCACUUUUGGCAGUCAACUUCAGCUUGUGUCAGAGCAGACAUGACAGAGCUGACCAACGGUUAAUCGGGAGACGCCACCUACUUGGAAUCACUGCCGUCCCCUCUGCAUUAAAUAAAUCCCAGAGCUGGGGGCUGAAUUGGGGUGCAGUGCUGAGCAAGGAACAGCGGAUAGUAAAUGAGAAUGACUGAAAAUGAGUGACGUGAAAAAGAGCUGCUCCAAAUUGCAUUUGAGCUGCUUUUGAAAAGCAAAAAAUAAUGCAUUUUCAGUAAGGCUGUCUGCUAGGUUGGUGGGAGCGCCGCAAGGGCAAACCGUGCCAGGCGUCAUUCUAGCCAGUACCUCUACUUGCACUUCUUAGAAAAGGGUAAAAUGAAGAAAUGUGCAACAUUGCUUUGCCCCUGAAACCCUCCCUGUUUGCUAAAUGAAAAAAGAGCAUCUUUGAGGUUGCAACACAGCGCAGCGUUUGAUGGAAACGUCUCAACCUCCCCGAAUUUAAAAAUCGUGCCUUGUGUUUGGAUUAAAAAUUAUUCCAGAUUUACAGGUUCUCUAAUUAGCUCUGGUUCUCUUUUCUGGGUGCCUUUCUGACCGUCGUGCUAAUGAGCUCUAUAGAGUACUAAUCAAAAUACUUUGCCACCUAAACACAUCUCCUUAACACGUUCAUAAAAAGAAUUGCUCCGAUAUUUUGAAAAAGACUUAGCAACGGGGCUGCCCCUCGGGUUGGAACCAGCGGCAGAUUUCUCCACGCAGCAGAGCGCCUUGGCAGUGUUUGGAUAGAGACCAGGCUCAGGGCUGGCUCCCAACCAGGGGCUCGGUCACCCUGCUUCUGCCCAGAGGUGUCCAUUUGUGUAGAGGAACAGGAGCAAAUGUAAACAGCGUUCAUCUCGCUUGCCCUCUCGCAGCUUCGUAUAUCUGAAUAGCUUCAGAGGAUGGUGGAAAUCGCUUUGCUUAUAAGCAUGGACUAAAUACCCCCAGGAAAGGCAAGGGACCUGGGGGUUGUGUCUUGUUUUCAAAUUAACCGAUGAUGGCAUAUACUGGGGUGGAUUGUGUGUGCGGGUUGGAUUAUUUUCUUAAUUUAAACCCCUUACAGGGAUUGCACCAGGAGUUUUCCUUCACCUGGAUCAAUUUUAGGAUUUGAUCAUAUCUCAGGACCCUCCUCCGAUCGCGAGAGCUCAGCAUUUAAUUCUCAUUAUUUUAAAACUUCUUCUAGAAGAGCGGUAUCAUAGCUGGGAAAGGGAGGGUGCAUUCAGAUCACCCCACCCAAGGUAAACACCGAGCUCCUUUCUUAAACAGGAAACUUAUUCGAGUAAACAGAGUUUUCCUUUCAAACGUUUUUUUCCUGUCCUUUGUAAGCAAAAUGUCGGGUUUUCUCCACCCCGCGCCCCAAGCACCUUUACAAGAGAUGCGUGUGUCUCAAGGUCGUGUGUCUGGGACCCAGAGCCCACGUUUCUUGCCAGCGCCUCACUAUAUUUGUGAGCAUUGAGGAAGAAAAUGGAGGCAAAGUCAGGAAUAAGGUGGACAGAAGGAGUCUGGGUUUGGAUGUCCAAGGGUUUCUGCAAUUGAUUGACUGCCCAUGAUGGCAUCAGUGUCCCCGUCCCCCCCCCCCCGCCCCCUCCAUCGACUGCUCAGUUGCACUUCCCCGACACUUGAAAACGCACAUUAACCGAUUCCUUUCCACGGGUGCAGAUGCAGGUGCAAGAGACUACUGGCAAAUGUGGGGAGCAGGGAGCGGGUGUCUGGACCAGUUGGCGUGCUCUAAAACGUCUGCGAAAGCAACACCAGCCCCGGUUCUAAUCCCUUGAUAUAGAAACCCCGUCUCUAUUAACCGGCUUCCACCCAUAUUCAUAUCCACAGAUGACUGGGUCGUUAAUGUCAGUUGUAGUAAACAGGUUCCGAGCACCUUUCAUGUGUAAGUAUGAUCUGUGGAAAUCCCCACAGCGGUUUAGCGGGGACCUGCUGCAUUUAUUUCGAGAAACCGCGAUAUAAAACAAUACGACUAGCUAUCAAGAGGAGCUCACCGCCCCGAGAAAAAGCCUCACGCCAAGCCCCAAGAACAGAGAUUUCAGCCACAACCAUAUUCGAUCACAAAUGUCUUCCUUGCCUGCAAGAAACCAAACACCAAACAGUCAAGACAUCCCCAGCAAAACAUUCCAGCGCCGACAGAUAUUUAAAAGUAUUGCUACAAGUGAUGCCUUGAACUUGACCUUACAUUUGUUAAUCAACGAAAUAAAUACGUCGAAAAUCAGAAAUCGCAUUGCCUUGCCUCCCACAGACAACGAUUGUGUUAUAAACGAAUUGAGGGUGGAAACAACGAGGACCAGUUGCUGCGAUCUAGCUAAUCUGCUUUUAGCAUUAAGGUUUUAAAGUUAUGCCCAAUAAAAUAGCUCUAUGGCCAGACCAA